rnacentral:rRNA from 1 species
AUUGAACGCUGGCGGCAUGCCUUACACAUGCAAGUCGAACGGUAACAGGUUAAGCUGGCGAGUGGCGAACGGGUGAGUAAUGUAUCGGAACGUGCCCAGUCGUGGGGGAUAACUGCUCGAAAGAGCAGCUAAUACCGCAUACGACCUGAGGGUGAAAGCGGGGGAUCGCAAGACCUCGCGCGAUUGGAGCGGCCGAUAUCAGAUUAGGUAGUUGGUGAGGUAAAGGCUCACCAAGCCGACGAUCUGUAGCUGGUCUGAGAGGACGACCAGCCACACUGGGACUGAGACACGGCCCAGACUCCUACGGGAGGCAGCAGUGGGGAAUUUUCGACAAUGGGCGCAAGCCUGAUCCAGCAAUGCCGCGUGCGGGAAGAAGGCCUUCGGGUUGUAAACCGCUUUUGUCAGGGAAGAAAAGGUUCUGGCUAAUACAUGGGACUCAUGACGGUACCUGAAGAAUAAGCACCGGCUAACUACGUG